CAUGCAGUCGAGCGAACAGACGAGGAGCUUGCUCCUCUGACGUUAGCGGCGGACGGGUGAGUAACACGUGGAUAACCUACCUAUAAGACUGGGAUAACUUCGGGAAACCGGAGCUAAUACCGGAUAAUAUAUUGAACCGCAUGGUUCAAUAGUGAAAGACGGUUUUGCUGUCACUUAUAGAUGGAUCCGCGCCGCAUUAGCUAGUUGGUAAGGUAACGGCUUACCAAGGCAACGAUGCGUAGCCGACCUGAGAGGGUGAUCGGCCACACUGGAACUGAGACACGGUCCAGACUCCUACGGGAGGCAGCAGUAGGGAAUCUUCCGCAAUGGGCGAAAGCCUGACGGAGCAACGCCGCGUGAGUGAUGAAGGUCUUCGGAUCGUAAAACUCUGUUAUUAGGGAAGAACAAAUGUGUAAGUAACUAUGCACGUCUUGACGGUACCUAAUCAGAAAGCCACGGCUAACUACGUGCCAGCAGCCGCGGUAAUACGUAGGUGGCAAGCGUUAUCCGGAAUUAUUGGGCGUAAAGCGCGCGUAGGCGGUUUUUUAAGUCUGAUGUGAAAGCCCACGGCUCAACCGUGGAGGGUCAUUGGAAACUGGAAAACUUGAGUGCAGAAGAGGAAAGUGGAAUUCCAUGUGUAGCGGUGAAAUGCGCAGAGAUAUGGAGGAACACCAGUGGCGAAGGCGACUUUCUGGUCUGUAACUGACGCUGAUGUGCGAAAGCGUGGGGAUCAAACAGGAUUAGAUACCCUGGUAGUCCACGCCGUAAACGAUGAGUGCUAAGUGUUAGGGGGUUUCCGCCCCUUAGUGCUGCAGCUAACGCAUUAAGCACUCCGCCUGGGGAGUACGACCGCAAGGUUGAAACUCAAAGGAAUUGACGGGGACCCGCACAAGCGGUGGAGCAUGUGGUUUAAUUCGAAGCAACGCGAAGAACCUUACCAAAUCUUGACAUCCUCUGACCCCUCUAGAGAUAGAGUUUUCCCCUUCGGGGGACAGAGUGACAGGUGGUGCAUGGUUGUCGUCAGCUCGUGUCGUGAGAUGUUGGGUUAAGUCCCGCAACGAGCGCAACCCUUAAGCUUAGUUGCCAUCAUUAAGUUGGGCACUCUAAGUUGACUGCCGGUGACAAACCGGAGGAAGGUGGGGAUGACGUCAAAUCAUCAUGCCCCUUAUGAUUUGGGCUACACACGUGCUACAAUGGACAAUACAAAGGGYAGCGAAACCGCGAGGUCAAGCAAAUCCCAUAAAGUUGUUCUCAGUUCGGAUUGUAGUCUGCAACUCGACUAUAUGAAGCUGGAAUCGCUAGUAAUCGUAGAUCAGCAUGCA
rnacentral:rRNA from 1 species